rnacentral:rRNA from 1 species
AUGGCAGCAGCUCAAAGCGAGAGCAACCAUACCAGCAUCGUGGAGGAAGGAGAGAGCCAUGUUGCAGAGGUGCGAGGAGGCUGGGUCCUGUAUCAAGGCUGUUGGCUGAGAUCCCACAACGUGCAAAGCGUCAUGCUCGUGCAAGAGCGCUUCAAGGCUCGCCCCGACGACACCUUCCUUGUCACGUUCCCAAAGUGCGGCACCACCUGGCUAAAGGCCCUCGCAUUCACGGUCACAAACCGUUUCCGCCACGCCGCCACCAGCGAGGACCACCCGCUGCUCACCCAGCACCCUCAAGACCUAGUGUCGUUUCUCGAGAUGCCCUACCGCCAGCUACACCCUCUCGCUGAUCUUGAGAAGCUCGCCUCACCUAGGCUUCUUGCCACCCACAUGCCGAUCACACUGCUACCUCCGUGUGUGUCUAACCUCGGUUGUCGUGUUGUGUACCUGUGCCGCAAUCCCAAGGACGUGUUCGUGUCCUUAUGGCACUUCACCAACAAGGUAGGCGCGGACUACACCACACCCAUGGAUCAGGCAUUUGAGUUGUUUUCUGACGGGGUAUCCCCGUACGGGCCUAUCUGGGAACACAAUCUUGGGUUCUGGAAGAAAUACACGGCGGAGAGCGACAAUGUUCUUUUCUUGAAGUAUGAUGAUAUGAUGGCCGAACCGGUCAAGCACGUCAAGAUGCUCGCCAAGUUCCUCUGUGCCCCCUUCACCGAGCAGGAAGUGAGCUACGGAGUCGUGGAGGAUGUCGUGCACCUGUGUAGCUUUGAUAAGCUCAAGAGCAUACCAAUCAACUCAUCGGGAGAAACUGAUAGGAUUGGUGGGCUGCCAAUGGCUAAUUCUUCCUACUUUAGGACCGGGAAGGUUGGUGACUGGGCAAACCAUUUGACGGAAGAGAUGUCGAAGAAGCUGGAUGACAUCGUUGAGGAGAAGCUGAGAGGGUCAGGUCUCACAUUUUGA